GUGGGGAAUAUUGGACAAUGGGCGAAAGCCUGAUCCAGCAAUGCCGCGUGAGUGAUGAAGGCCUUAGGGUUGUAAAGCUCUUUUACCAGGGAUGAUAAUGACAGUACCUGGAGAAUAAGCUCCGGCUAACUCCGUGCCAGCAGCCGCGGUAAUACGGAGGGAGCUAGCGUUGUUCGGAAUUACUGGGCGUAAAGCGCACGUAGGCGGCUACUCAAGUCAGAGGUGAAAGCCCGGGGCUCAACCCCGGAACUGCCUUUGAAACUAGGUAGCUAGAAUCUUGGAGAGGUCAGUGGAAUUCCGAGUGUAGAGGUGAAAUUCGUAGAUAUUCGGAAGAACACCAGUGGCGAAGGCGACUGACUGGACAAGUAUUGACGCUGAGGUGCGAAAGCGUGGGGAGCAAACAGGAUUAGAAACCCGAGUAGUCC
rnacentral:rRNA from 1 species